rnacentral:rRNA from 1 species
GACGAACGCUGGCGGCGUGCCUAAUACAUGCAAGUAGGACGCAGUUGCGAACGGGUGAGUAACGCGUAGGUAACUGCCUAUUAGAGGGGGAUAACUAUUGGAAACGAUAGCAAAUACCGCAUACUAGUAGAAGGACCUGCGUUUGAUUAGCUAGUAGGUAGGGUAAUGGCCUACCUAGGCAACGAUACAUAACCGACCUGAGAGGUGGACCGGCCACACUGGGACUGAGACACGGCCCAGACUCCUACGGGAGGCAGCAGUAGGGAAUCUUCGACAAUGGAGUGAACCCUGACAGAGAAACGCCGCGUGUGUGAAGAAGGUUUUCGGGUCGUAAAGCUCUGUUGUUAAGGAAGCGGUACUUAACAAGAAAGGGACGGCUAACUACGUCCCAGCAGCCGCGGUAAAU